UCUUCGGAGAGUUUGAUCCUGGCUCAGGAUGAACGCUGGCGGCGUGCCUAAUACAUGCAAGUCGAGCGAACUGAUUAGAAGCUUGCUUCUAUGACGUUAGCGGCGGACGGGUGAGUAACACGUGGGCAACCUGCCUGUAAGACUGGGAUAACUUCGGGAAACCGAAGCUAAUACCGGAUAGGAUCUUCUCCUUCAU
rnacentral:rRNA from 1 species